CGCAAAAUCACAUGUUUACGACAUGUAUGCUGGUCAAGGUGUUGUAUCCAGUAGAGCAGUGUUUGUAUACUGCGAUCUGUUGAGACUAUCCUCUGAUCAGGUGUUUUGUAUAUGUGUAUUAUUUAUCUGAGGAAAAGAAACUAGCAAGAAGUCACAAAGUAACGGCGAGUGAACUGGGAAAAGCCCAACGCUGAAUCUUUCGAUGUUAUAUCGUGAAGAAAUAUAGCGUAUAGGUAUGGUUGUCGGUUUUUUAGCAUGUCCAAAGUUUCUUUGAUAGGGACCAUAUUCCGGAGAGGGUGCGAAACCUGUGCGGACAGUUGAGCAUACCGUAUGAUUAUACCGUAGAGUCGGGUUGCUUGAAAGUGCAGCCUUUAGUGGGUGAUAAACUUCAUCUAAGGCUAAAUACGAACGCGAAUUCGAUAGCAAACAAGUUUUGUGAAGGAAAGUUGCAAAGAACUUUGAAGAGAGAGUUCAAGAGAACGUGAAAUCG
rnacentral:ncRNA from 1 species